rnacentral:rRNA from 1 species
UACGUAGGGUGCAAGCGUUGUCCGGAAUUAUUGGGCGUAAAGAGCUCGUAGGCGGUUUGUCGCGUCUGCUGUGAAAACGCGAGGCUCAACCUCGCGCCUGCAGUGGGUACGGGCAGACUAGAGUGCGGUAGGGGAGAUUGGAAUUCCUGGUGUAGCGGUGGAAUGCGCAGAUAUCAGGAGGAACACCGAUGGCGAAGGCAGAUCUCUGAGCCGUAACUGACGCUGAGGAGCGAAAGCGUGGGGAGCGAACAGG